ACCUUGCCUGCAGACUUGACCUCUGGAUAUGACAAGGUAGCUUCAAUAAAGACCUACCACUUAAUCCUGGAAACUAAAAACAAAACAAAACAAAAAAACCUCAAAGCAAGAAAGAUGCAGAAUAUUUCCCAAGAAGUCAGAAGAACCCAAUGUAUUCUGGUGGGCAGAUGAAAACAGGCUCAUGAAGAGAAGUGCUGAAUCAGCAGAGUGAAGGAACAAUCACGAUGAGAUGGCUGCUGCUGGUGUGGUCUAGAGGUCUUUACCUCUCUUCCUACUACAAAUGCUGCAUGACACUAAGUAACAGAGCACCACAAGGAUCUAGAAGAAACUAUAAAAUAUGAAGAUACUGACUCUGAAGACUAUAUGGAAACACUAAGCUGAUAUUAACAAUUUCUGAGAAAUACUCUGUGAAACUCCACUAAUUCUAUGAAUCUCUUACAAAAAGAAAUCAAGCCGAGGAUAAAGUUCAACAGAUAUUGAUAUUGAUAACUGUUCAACAUUUAGAAGUAUCCAUAUUCACCAAGAACAAGAAGUUAUAAAUGACACUGAUGCUUACUUCAGGUAAUUUAUUAAAAUUUUAUGUGUCUGCAAAUUGCUCUACAUCAAUAAGCUGAA